UACGGGGGGGGGCAAGCGUUGUUCGGAAUUACUGGGCGUAAAGGGCUCGUAGGCGGCCAACUAAGUCAGACGUGAAAUCCCUCGGCUUAACCGGGGAACUGCGUCUGAUACUGGAUGGCUAGAGGUUGGGAGAGGGAUGCGGAAUUCCAGGUGUAGCGGUGAAAUGCGUAGAUAUCUGGAGGAAUACCGGUGGCGAAGGCGGCAUCCUGGACCGGCAUUGACGCUGAUGAGCGAAAGCUAGGGGGAGCAAACGGGG
rnacentral:rRNA from 1 species